rnacentral:pre_miRNA from 1 species
CGGGGGAGGCCGGAUCCUGGGCUGUGUUCCGGUGCCCUGUGCUCCUGGGCCUGUGCUGUUGGAUUUGUGCUCCCGCCCCGCAGCCCCCU